UUUAGGUCACGGUGAGUUUAUUGUCCAUACAGCAUACCUAAUUGCAGCCAAAACCAUUCUCAAAUCCAACUUCAAACUAGUUGGAAGAACAGGUUAUUAAUUUUAAAAAAACACUGAACAAAUCAGCCUUCUUAAGAGGCAAUCAGCUACAUGUCACAGUCUGAUCGAAUAAUGCAACCUCAUAUACUUUCUCCAGACUUUGUUCACAUGAAGCAUGUCUAUGACAGUACUCUCUAGCAUCCCCCCACCUCUAAAACAACCAUGCCUCUUAAAGAGCCCAUUGUAAAGAAGAAAAUUGAAAUGAUGUGGUAUCACACUCAUUAAAGCAGAAAAAAAAAGUUCAAGACCGGAAACUCUGCAACUGAGUUAACUGAGGUACGUGGUAAUGAAUGAGACAUAAUGGAAAAAAUCCAGUGGCCUUGUAUUUGAUGGGAAUUUAAGAGUUGCCAAAUUAUGGGCAGUGGUCAGAAGAAAUACAUGUGUUUGAUUGAGGGUAGGAGCUUGCCAAAAUACUUAGGAUGUGCAAAAAAGUAUAGUUUUCAAGGAUUUUCAUUCAACCCUUUCUUUCACCAAAGUAGGCUGUGUAGAAAGGGUAAGCUAGGGCUACAAGAAGUAGCAAGAUCAUGCAUUUUUAUUUAACAAUGGGGGGGGGGGGAGCAAAAAUCAACAACAUACAAAUACAUGGGAGUAAUUCUUCCUGAAUUGAAGAUAUCAGGCUAUUGAGUAUGUAACCAUUUGAUUGGAUGAAGUAGCAAAGUUCUUCUUGAAUUCUUGCACCCAAUGUUAACCCUGGAAAGAUGUUCUAAGUUUCAUACUACUAGACCUCUUCUAUGCUGAGUAUCCUUUCUGGAGAGAGUAGGGAAAAUGAGUGGGGCAUUAUAGUCUUAAGUUUUAAUUUUCCCCCUUUAAAGCUAUGUAAAGCUAUGUACAGGGUUGGAUUACAAAGGUUGGAUUUUGUGAGGAAAAACGCUAGUGUCCUGGAAGUCUGAUUAAUCUCAAGUUGGUUUGCUCAAAUAUUCUCCCCAGAAUCAGAAAGAUAUUAAUCUUCCAACCCAUUUUUUUUUAAAUUUAGAAAAUAAUAUUUAGGGGCAGCUAGGUGGAACAGUGGGUAGAAUACCAGCCUUGAAGUCAGGAGGACCUGAGUUCAAAUCUGACUCAGACACUUAACACUUCCUAGCUGUGUGAUCCUGGGCAAGUCACUUAACCCCAAUUACCUCAGCAAAAAAACCCCAAAAAAGUAAUAUUUAUAUGUUAUAAGGUGCAAUCGGUCAUUUUCUUCUCAACAGCCCUAUUUAGAGUCACAUAGAAUGCGAAUUUUGCUCCCUCUUUAAGAAAGUUCCUUAACUAAGGUACUACAGUGUCAUAUUGUCUGUAUGGACAUUGGGACAUAAUCUAAAUAGAUUUUUAAAGUUCUGAACUAAGCAAAAAUGUAGUUUCUUUUUGAGGGAAAUCCAAAAUGCUAUAGAGAACUUGUAAUUCAGAGACAAUCCAUCCUUUGACCUAACCAUUUAAAUCUCUGCUCUGGGGACACAAUUAUUAUGGUCCCCAUUGCAUCCCGAUUUAGCUAAUAAGGGAGGUCAGCAAGGAUCUCUUCUGUGGAUUAAGUUAACAGACUAAUUGUGGACAUUGUAAGCUGUCUUAAAGUAACUCCCCAGAGAAUUCCCCAGGAUAGGGUUUUCUUGGUAGGCAUUUAUCUUUUUUCUCCCUUGGGGAAGACUCCUCUGUAUGUUCAUGUGGGGGGGAGAAUCCCUACCUCCAGAUUCCUCAGCUUUUAUUAACUUGUAUAUAUCAUAUUAUGCUUUAUUCUAUAUUUGGCAUUUUGUUUUUUAAGGAUCU
rnacentral:lncRNA from 1 species